rnacentral:rRNA from 1 species
CAGCAGCCACGGUAAUACGAAGGGGGCUAGCGUUGUUCGGAAUCACUGGGCGUAAAGGGUGCGUAGGCGGGAUCUUAGGUCAGGGGUGAAAUCCCGAGGCUCAACCUCGGAACUGCCUUUGAUACUGGGGUCCUUGAGUCGGGAAGAGGUGAGUGGAACUGCGAGUGUAGAGGUGAAAUUCGUAGAUAUUCGCAAGAACACCGGUGGCGAAGGCGGCUCACUGGUCCGGAACUGACGCUGAGGCACGACAGCGUGGGGAGCAAACAGGAUUAGAUACCCGCGUAGUCCCUGUCUCUUAUAC